CCUACGGGUGGCAGCAGUGGGGAAUAUUGCACAAUGGGGGAAACCCUGAUGCAGCGACGCCGCGUGAGUGAAGAAGUAUUUCGGUAUGUAAAGCUCUAUCAGCAGGGAAGAAAAUGACGGUACCUGAUUAAGAAGCCCCGGCUAACUACGUUCCAGCAGCCGCGGUAAUACGUAGGGGGCAAGCGUUAUCCGGAUUUACUGGGUGUAAAGGGAGCGUAGACGGGAGGGCAAGUCUGUAGUGAAAUGCCGUGGCUUAACCCCGGAACUGCGUUGGAACCUGUGCAGCGAGAGUGAAGGAGAGGUAAGUGGAAUUCCUAGUGUAGCGGUGAAAUGGGUAGAUAUUAGGAGGAACCGCAGUGGCGAGGCGGCUUAAUGGACUGUAACUGACGUUGAGGCUCGAAAGCGUGGGGAGCAAACAGGAUUAGAUACCCCAGUAGUC
rnacentral:rRNA from 1 species